GCAACCUGCACGGUUGGAUCUCUUGCUGCAUGGAAGCAAGGCCCUGAGAAGUGCUGGGGGAUGAGCAGGAGGGGGCUCGGCUUUCUGCUCCUCCUGUAUGCAGCCUCCUUGGCCUGCCUCAAUAGCGUAGCAAAGAGGCUGCCUCUCCUUGCUCCCAUCCCUGUGAACACGAGGCCGUUGCCCACCCAGAGCAAACACAGAGUUUUUUUCAGGUCAAAAAAGGAAUUUCUGGUCAAAACCAUAACGGGAAAGAACACACAGGAAGCCAGGCUGUGAUCCGAGCCCAGCAGAGCCUCUCAUAUCCCAGCGAUGGAGCCAACAGCUGCCCUGCCACGCAGCCACCCCUCAACUGGCCGCCCACACCCCAGGCACCAGGAGCAUCCCCAGGCAGGAGAGGAUCCACUGCUGCAACGCGAUCUGGGAGAAGAUGCCUGGUCCCACCCACCUUCCCUUCCAAACUGGCCGACUGCUUUCAGGUCAAGCAUCACUUGUGCUUUAGCAGUGCCUUCCAUGCACCCAUCCACGUGGCACAGCUCAGCCAGGAUGCGGGAUGUGGGACGUGGUUGUGAUCUGCACCUCGGUUCACCCCGGCAAGGAUAAGUCACAAGCGUUGCAUCUCCUUCAC
rnacentral:lncRNA from 1 species